rnacentral:lncRNA from 1 species
CAUCAUUAGCGGGGAGAUGCAAGAGUCCUCCUUUCUGCGUGCCUCUCUGACUAUGUACCACCUCACUCAUAGCCAUGCUUUCGAUCAAAUCAUAAGCCUAAUCUUCAGUCUUGGUUUUUAUGCUGCCUCCAUCUGAAGCAUCUAACAUCAUUUUAGACUGAGUAUGAAGGCCUCCAAGGAAGGCAAGUAAGUAUGAAUUCUUAUCAAGUCCAUGGACAGGAGUCUUUCUUAACAAGCCUUUAAAUUUGUCCCAUGCUUGACCCAAAGUUUCCUCCAUUCCCUAUUUGAAUGAAGAGAUCUCUAACUUCCCUUGAUUAAUCUUGGUUGACGGAAAGAAUUUUUUUACAAAUUUUGCUGCCAAC